rnacentral:rRNA from 1 species
GACAGAGGUCCCAAGCGUUAGGCGGAAUCACUGGGCUUAAAGCGUGUGUAGGCGGAUUUGUAAGUACCUUGUGAAAUCCCACGGCUCAACCGUGGAACUGCUUGGUAUACUGCUUAUCUUGGGCCAUCUAGGGGCGAGCGGAACAAACGGUGGAGCGGUGAAAUGCGUAGAUAUUCGGAAGAACACCAGUGGCGAAGGCGGCUCACUGGACUGGUAUUGACGCUGAGGUACGAAAGCGUGGGGAGCAAACAGG